rnacentral:rRNA from 1 species
AACCUCUGCAAUAGGCGAAAGCCUGACAGGGUUAUUCUGAGUGACUUUCGCUAAGAAAGUCUUUUGACAUCUCUAAAAAUGGUGUAGAAUAAGGGGUGGGCAAGUCUGGUGUCAGCCGCCGCGGUAAUACCAGCACCCCGAGUGGUCGGGACGAUUAUUGGGCCUAAAGCAUCCGUAGCCGGUUUUACAAGUCCUCCGUUAAAUCCAACUGCUUAACAGA